GACGAACGCUGGCGGUGUGCUUAACACAUGCAAGUCGAACGGUAAGGCCCUUUCGGGGGUACACGAGUGGCGAACGGGUGAGUAACACGUGAGUAACCUGCCCUCAUCUCUGGGAUAACAGUCGGAAACGGUUGCUAAUACUGGAUAUGAGCUUGCAAGGCAUCUUGUGGGUUGGAAAGAUUUUUUUGGUUGGGGAUGGACUCGCGGCCUAUCAGCUUGUUGGUGAGGUAGUGGCUCACCAAGGCUUCGACGGGUAGCCGGCCUGAGAGGGCGACCGGCCACAUUGGGACUGAGAUACGGCCCAAACUCCUACGGGAGGCAGCAGUGGGGAAUAUUGUACAAUGGACGGAAGUCUGAUGCAGCAACGCCGCGUGCGGGAUGACGGCCUUCGGGUUGUAAACCGCUUUCAAUUGUGACGAAGCUUUUUGUGACGGUAGCAGUAGAAGAAGCACCGGCUAACUACGUG
rnacentral:rRNA from 1 species